rnacentral:tRNA from 1 species
GGAGCGUUGGCCGAGUGGUCGAUGGCAGCCGGUUGAAAACCGGUAGGGCCUUUCGGGGUCCCGUGGGUUCGAAUCCCACACGCUAUUCUA